ACACUACUACAGAGUUAUUGUGUGGAUUUUACUUCUGGAGUCAGAUGGAGAUUUUCUGGAAAAUACAUUUUGGUCUAAGAUGCAUAAAUAUGUUAAUCAGAGAGAAUUUUAAACUUGAUAGAUUUGUUUAAUAUCUUGGAAAUUCUCAGGAGAAUCUCAUCACUACUCCAUCAUUCAUUAUUUCUCAUCCAGUCAAAACAUUUAGACAUACAACUGUGUUCUGUAAAUAUGACAAUUACUGAACUUUGUGUGUGUGUGUGUGUGUGUGUGUGUGUGUGUGUGUGUGUGUGUGUGUGUGUGUUCACUGUAGUGUGACAGAGGUUUUUGUACGACGCCUUCAUAGGAAUGUAUCACUGUGGUACACUUUUGGUGGAGGAACUAAACUCUUUAUAAAAACUGGUCCGGUGGUGAAGCCCUCCGUGUCUCUGCUCCCUCCCUCUUCUCUGCAGCUCUCUGAUGGAACGGCCUCUCUGCUCUGCCUGCUCUCUGCCUAUUCUCCACAGGGGGCGCUGCCGAGCUGGACCGUGGACGGUGCCGAGGUGAACGAGGGGGUUCUGACCAGCACAGAAGAACAGAAGGACGGCAUCUACAGCCGCAGCAGCACCCUGACCCUCAGUAAAGAACGCUGGGAAGAGGCCGAGGUGUUCGGCUGUACCGUCUCCCACCACGACACCACUCAGGUCGCCUCGUUCAGAAAGAGCCGCUGUGAAGUCCACUAGAAUUCAAGUGUACACUUUAAACCAUGCUUAGCAGUCUGAGGUGAUGUCAGUGUGUAGCUAUGCUGAAAUAAAGCUUCUAUGUAGAAA